AUCUAGAAAAAGGGAAAGUAACGUGAGAGAGAGAGAGUUCUUGAGAGAACUCAUGGAGAAGAAGGGAGAAAGAGUUGGAGUGGAAGAGGAAAUCAAGGAUUUGGCUUGAAUUCUUCAUGGCUAUGCAAGAAUAAGUGGUGAUGAAAGCUUAAGGUCGAGAGGAGGACAUCAUCCCAUUACUACCAGGAGCCGAUCACUAUGAGUAAUAGUACUACAAAUGUACAUGGUCUACCGUUAAUAAAAUUGUUAACAACAUUCUAUUCUCCGUGAGCUAAUAUGUUAACAUGUGUGUUGAUUGGGAAUUGAUGUGAACAUUGAAAGAGUUAGCACACAUCGGUAAUCAACCGGGAGUUCAGUCCUAACCUUUAAGGCUCGUCUAUCUCUUGUCAACUUUGAUGCGUCCAGGCACCACCUGAAGCCGUGCAUGUUGUAAAGUGUUGUAGGUUAUUGAUUUAUGCUUUGGUUGUCUUUCAUUAAUAUUGUCGUUACACGCCCAAUUGUGGGUCUAAGUAUGAAUGUAUAAGUGUGUAACCGAAGUUCGAGUGUAUGUUUCUAUAUAUUAUGUACCUAAUGCAAUGUGUG